AGUUGAGCUUCGCUGUCUCCUGUGACAGCUCUUGUUAUAAUAUAAUGUUAUCUAUUUGUUGGACAGGCUCAGAUUUGCCCCUGCUGGAUGAAGAUAAUGCUAUAUGAGGUAUGGGCAUCAGUUUGUAGAUUAUCUUGGUAGAGGACUGGCAGAUAAUUGAAGCCAGGUUGACUAAUACAUGUAUAUAGAAGCGACAUGGGCAGACAACCAUGCUGUGAGAGUAGCUGCCUGUGCUUGUAUUGCAGAAUUUGGAGGUGAACAAAGAUGUUGUGGACAUGUAUAUUCCAAGGUUGUUAGAGGCUCUUCUAAUUCGUUUUAGUGAUGACAGCUGGACAGUUAGAGAUGGUCAUCUAUACCAGCAUUGUAUCCACUAUUUUUCAACAAUCUACAAGAUAAUAUACCAUCAGUGCGGCAGGGGCGGCCCUUGCUCUCCCAAGUGUAUAUGAUCAAAUAAAUGUUCUAAGAUCUGAUCUGAAGAAGUUUGCAGAGGUUUUUUAUGCUGUGCCCCAUGAGGAGCAAGAAAUAGUCUCUAUAGUUUCCAGUGCCAUAGAUGAAUUCUAGGAACAAAGACAGUUUGGCGAGCCAUUUACCGAUCUCCACCCUUCAGAAGCAUUUUAUACACAUGAAGAGAUUGGCUCAGAUUUGAUAAGUAACAGUAGACGUGUGUUCAAGAAACUAAUAUUUGACUUAUCUGGGAAAUUAUUAGAAACAUUUAUAAACAGAAGAAUAUGAUUAAAAAAAAACAAAGGUGCUUCCCCUCUGACUACUAUAGAUGUGCUAAAACCCGUGGUUCAGGUAGCAGUUAUUGAUGAAUUAGGUUUAAAUGUGGCCAAAAAAUCGUCCGAAAAGACUAAAAGGUGGUAUUUGUAAAAAGAUUGGAUCUUGUUGAUUCACAUUUUUAGCUCAGCUGUCACAAAGUGACAUGGUGAGCUUUUGUGAUCACUUUUUGUCUGGUGUCCGUAAACUUUUACUUUGAACAACAUCUCCUCAUAAACCACUUAGCCAAUUUCAUCUAAACUUCAGGAAUGUUUCUUUGGUAGUGAACUUUAAAAAUUGUUCAAAGAAUUUAAUUCC